AAUAUACUCCCUCCAUCCUGAAUUACUUGUCUUAGAUUUGUCUAGAUACUGAUGUAUCUAGACACGUUUUAGUGUUAGAUACAUCCAUAUCUAGACAAAUCUACGAUGAGUAAUUUAGGAUGGAGGUAAUACUUU
rfam:Triticum aestivum genome assembly, contig: Triticum_aestivum_CS42_TGACv1_scaffold_177308_2DS